rnacentral:rRNA from 1 species
AAUCCAUAGGUUAAUGAGGCGAACCGGGGGAACUGAAACAUCUAAGUACCCCGAGGAAAAGAAAUCAACCGAGAUUCCCCCAGUAGCGGCGAGCGAACGGGGAGGAGCCCAGAGCCUGAAUCAGCAUGUGUGUUAGUGGAAGCGUCUGGAAAGGCGCGCGAUACAGGGUGACAGCCCCGUACACAAAAGCGCAUGUGCUGUGAGCUCGAUGAGUAGGGCGGGACACGUGGUAUCCUGUCUGAAUAUGGGGGGACCAUCCUCCAAGGCUAAAUACUCCUGACUGACCGAUAGUGAACCAGUACCGUGAGGGAAAGGCGAAAAGAACCCCGGCGAGGGGAGUGAAAAAGAACCUGAAACCGUGUACGUACAAGCAGUGGGAGCCCCACCACUAAGCCAGUGGUGAACUCCACAUACGCAUCCUUUGCUGAGGAUACGGUUAACGGAGCGAAAGCGACGUUCAACCGCAAAAGAAGCAGAGGGGGCUUAGUGGUGGGGUGACUGCGUACCUUUUGUAUAAUGGGUCAGCGACUUAUAUUCUGUAGCAAGGUUAACCGAAUAGGGGAGCCGGAGGGAAACCGAGUCUUAACCGGGCGUUAAGUUGCAGGGUAUAGACCCGAAACCCGGUGAUCUAGCCAUGGGCAGGUUGAAGGUUGGGUAACACUAACUGGAGGACCGAACCGACUAAUGUUGAAAAAUUAGCGGAUGACCUGUGGCUGGGGGUGAAAGGCCAAUCAAACCGGGAGAUAGCUGGUUCUCCCCGAAAGCUAUUUAGGUAGCGCCUCGUGAAUUCAUCUCCGGGGGUAGAGCACUGUUUCGGCUAGGGGGCCAUCCCGGCUUACCAACCCGAUGCAAACUGCGAAUACCGGAGAAUGUUAUCACGGGAGACACACGGCGGGUGCUAACGUCCGUCGUGAAGAGGGAAACAACCCAGACCGCCAGCUAAGGUCCCAAAGUCAUGGUUAAGUGGGAAACGAUGUGGGAAGGCCCAGACAGCCAGGAUGUUGGCUUAGAAGCAGCCAUCAUUUAAAGAAAGCGUAAUAGCUCACUGGUCGAGUCGGCCUGCGCGGAAGAUGUAACGGGGCUAAACCAUGCACCGAAGCUGCGGCAGCGACGCUGAUGCGUUGUUGGGUAGGGGAGCGUUCUGUAAGCCUGUGAAGGUGGCCUGUGAGGGUUGCUGGAGGUAUCAGAAGUGCGAAUGCUGACAUAAGUAACGAUAAAGCGGGUGAAAAGCCCGCUCGCCGGAAGACCAAGGGUUCCUGUCCAACGUUAAUCGGGGCAGGGUGAGUCGACCCCUAAGGCGAGGCCGAAAGGCGUAGUCGAUGGGAAACGGGUUAAUAUUCCCGUACUUGGUGUUACUGCGAAGGGGGGACGGAGAAGGCUAUGUUGGCCGGGCGACGGUUGUCCCGGUUUAAGCGUGUAGGUGUGUGUUCCAGGUAAAUCCGGUUCACUUUAACACUGAGGCGUGAUGACGAGGCACUACGGUGCUGAAGCAACAAAUGCCCUGCUUCCAGGAAAAGCCUCUAAGCAUCAGGUAACAUCAAAUCGUACCCCAAACCGACACAGGUGGUCAGGUAGAGAAUACCAAGGCGCUUGAGAGAACUCGGGUGAAGGAACUAGGCAAAAUGGUGCCGUAACUUCGGGAGAAGGCACGCUGACACGUAGGUGAAGUGAUUUACUCAUGGAGCUGAAGUCAGUCGAAGAUACCAGCUGGCUGCAACUGUUUAUUAAAAACACAGCACUGUGCAAACACGAAAGUGGACGUAUACGGUGUGACGCCUGCCCGGUGCCGGAAGGUUAAUUGAUGGGGUCAGCGCAAGCGAAGCUCCUGAUCGAAGCCCCGGUAAACGGCGGCCGUAACUAUAACGGUCCUAAGGUAGCGAAAUUCCUUGUCGGGUAAGUUCCGACCUGCACGAAUGGCGUAAUGAUGGCCAGGCUGUCUCCACCCGAGACUCAGUGAAAUUGAACUCGCUGUGAAGAUGCAGUGUACCCGCGGCAAGACGGAAAGACCCCGUGAACCUUUACUAUAGCUUGACACUGAACAUUGAGCCUUGAUGUGUAGGAUAGGUGGGAGGCUUUGAAGCGUGGACGCCAGUCUGCGUGGAGCCGACCUUGAAAUACCACCCUUUAAUGUUUGAUGUUCUAACGUGGACCCGUGAUCCGGGUUGCGGACAGUGUCUGGUGGGUAGUUUGACUGGGGCGGUCUCCUCCUAAAGAGUAACGGAGGAGCACGAAGGUUGGCUAAUCCUGGUCGGACAUCAGGAGGUUAGUGCAAUGGCAUAAGCCAGCUUGACUGCGAGCGUGACGGCGCGAGCAGGUGCGAAAGCAGGUCAUAGUGAUCCGGUGGUUCUGAAUGGAAGGGCCAUCGCUCAACGGAUAAAAGGUACUCCGGGGAUAACAGGCUGAUACCGCCCAAGAGUUCAUAUCGACGGCGGUGUUUGGCACCUCGAUGUCGGCUCAUCACAUCCUGGGGCUGAAGUAGGUCCCAAGGGUAUGGCUGUUCGCCAUUUAAAGUGGUACGCGAGCUGGGUUUAGAACGUCGUGAGACAGUUCGGUCCCUAUCUGCCGUGGGCGCUGGAGAACUGAGGGGGGCUGCUCCUAGUACGAGAGGACCGGAGUGGACGCAUCACUGGUGUUCGGGUUGUCAUGCCAAUGGCACUGCCCGGUAGCUAAAUGCGGAAGAGAUAAGUGCUGAAAGCAUCUAAGCACGAAACUUGCCCCGAGAUGAGUUCUCCCUGAGACUUUAGGUCUCCUGAAGGAACGUUGAAGACGACGACGUUGAUAGGCCGGGUGUGUAAGCGCAGCGAUGCGUUGAGCUAACCGGUACUAAUGAACCGUGAGGCUUAACCUUACAACGCCGAAG